CCUACGGGAGGCAGCAGUGAGGAAUAUUGGUCAAUGGACGAGAGUCUGAACCAGCCAAGUAGCGUGAAGGAUGACUGCCCUAUGGGUUGUAAACUUCUUUUAUAAAGGAAUAAAACGAGGCACGUGUGCCUUGUUGCAUGUACUUUAUGAAUAAGGAUCGGCUAACUCCGUGCCAGCAGCCGCGGUAAUACGGAGGAUCCGAGCGUUAUCCGGAUUUAUUGGGUUUAAAGGGUGCGUAGAUGGGUUGUUAAGUCAGUUGUUAAAGUUUGCGGCUCCACCGUAAAAUUGCCAUUGAUACUGGCAGUCUUGAGUACAGGUGAGGUAGGCGGAAUUCGUGGUGUAGCGGUGAAAUGCUUAGAUAUCGCGAAGAACCCCGAUUGCGAAGGCAGCUUACUAAACUGUCACUGACAUUGAUGCUCGAAAGUGUGGGUAUCGAACAGGAUUAGAUACCCCAGUAGUC
rnacentral:rRNA from 1 species